GAAAGCAGAAGCUGGUGAAGCCACGGUAGCUGAAGAAGACAAUGCAGCAGAAGUUAUAGCUGCCACAAGUGAACAGGAAUCUGAUGAAGAGAAGGCUGUGGAAGCAGGGACAACCGAAGAUGUGGAAGAAACUGCUGCUGAAGAUGAUUCUGUAGAAGGCAAGGAUGCCACCACGCAUGAUGAUGAAAUUACAGGGGAGAACGAUGACACAACCGAAGCUGACGAACUGUCCAAAGAACCAUCCGAAGGAGCAGCAACUGAAGAUGAGGUGUCUUCUGGUGAGGAGGAAAUCAGUAAAGCUGAUAAUGAAUUAAAUGAAGACGAGGCUGAAGAAACCACAAGUGGAGAAGAACUUGUGGAAAAGGAUGAUAAUGAGGAAGCUGAUCUUGAAUCUGCAAGAGAUGAAAGCUCUGAAGCUGGGACUGAAAAUGAAUCGGAGGAAGAGGGCGAUGAAUCCGUAAACAACGCAACAACAGAUGCAAAUGAGACCGCAGGAGAAGAGGAUUCUUUAACAAAUGUGACAAAUGAUAAUGAAUCAGGGGAAGAGAAUUCAGAAGCCAAGCCUGAAAAUGACACUGCAGAUGAAAAGGCAGAAGAGGAUAAAGUGGCUACGGAUGAAAAUGGGACUUUAAGUGAGGCAGAACAUGGGGAAGAGGCAUCAGAUGAAGAGCUCCAUGACACAGGAGCAUCUGAAGAAAUUGAAGAGAGCAGUGCUGUUGAAGAUUUUGUUCAAGAAGAAAAUACAGGUGAGGGAGAAGAUAAUACAUCUCACAAUGAGGAACUAGAAGAAGGUGAAAGAACUGGGGAGGAAUCAGAAGAGGCUGAAAAUGAUGGGGAGGAAUCUGCUGAAAAUGAAAGUGCUAGGGAGUCUGGAGCAACGGAUGAAGACUACACAGAAGCUGCAACAACAGGAGAUGAGAUUGAGGAAACAGCAGAGUCUGAAAUGACAGGGAAGAAUGACAUUACUGAAAGUGACGGCAAAGAAGUAUGUGGAGAAGAAGGUGUAUCUGCAGGAGGGGAGGAUGGAGAAGGCCAAACAGGAAGUGAUAGCAUAGAAGAUGAAUCUGCAGAACAGCAACUCGCAGAAGGAGAAGAACAAAGUGACAUGACUAAAGAGCAUCGAGAAGAUGCCAUCACCGAGGCAAAUGAUGAAACAGAAGGGCCUGAUGAUGUGGUGGAGUUGAAACCAGAUGAGGAUGUGGAGGAAAUAUCAGAAAAAAACGAAGAAAACAAACCAGUGGAAGAUGAAGAUGAAGAUAAUGAUGAACAAGAAACAAAUGUAACACAAUGUGAAUGCAUUAACAUCCCAAAUGGAAGCUAUGAUAACGAUGAAGACGUCGAAGGCUCUGAGAGAGUAAAUAAAGACUGGAAAGGAAACCAGGGAGAUUCAGCUGACGGAGAAGAUGAAGCAGAGGAUUAUUCCGACGAAGCAGAGGAAGCAACUGAUUGUGGAGAACAAGAUUUUGUUCGAAGUAAGACAGAUAAUCGAGAGGCAGCUCCAAGAGCAGCUGAGAAAAAUACAUUAAUCACACUUGAUGCUUUGAUCCAACUGAAUGCAGAAUCUGAAGAUGGCGCUUAUGCUGAUAUUGAAGAUUCUGAGACUUAAAUAAACAGCCGAGAAGAAGUUACAAGCCUUGAGACAAAGACUUUGAAAAGUAGUUCAUCAUAAAUCGACUGUGACUCUGCAAAAGCUUGCGGG
ensembl:lncRNA